UCCAAAAAAAAAAGAAAUCUGGAGGUACGUUGCAUUCACUGAAAGGGCCGAAUGAUUGGCAGUAAAUUGAGUUGAUAUGUUGAUAAGUUGUGUUUUUAUACUAUUACUUUAUGAAAUUACUUUGCAUUCCAUGACAGUAUGCAAUUUUAUUAAUAGGUUGCAAGCUAUGUUGCAAUUUGGAGGAGCCCUUCCCAAUCAAAAGAAAGGGGCUCAAAAAAAAGAUUAAGGGGGUGGAUCACGUCCGAGUAUAUUGGAAGCCAUGUGAAUGUGGCCAGACGUGGCCUGCAACUUGGGAGCCGGUGGGGCAUCUCUAGCCACAAGUUCGAAUUUUUUUUGUCGCGGACUUUUCUGUCAUUGUGUUUUGCCAUUUGUUAAACUGUUUUGCCAUUUGUUAAACGGUUAAAUUUGUUUUUUAAUUAUUAAAACGUAUUUUAU